rnacentral:miRNA from 1 species
UUAGGGAUGGUCGGACGAGACU